GUUGGAGACAGUUGAGGGGACGCGAGGCGAUGUGCCACUGCGGACAGUGAGGGAAGCCCAAAAGUUGGUAUGGAGAACAUGAUCCCCAAGGAGAAGAGCCAUCAGGUGCUUGCCAUGGAUGGAGAGAAAUUGCAUGAAGGAACACUCACCUCUCUGCAUCCCGCUCCUGCUCUCAAUGCAGCCGCUGCAUCCACGUGACUGCUCAAAAAACCUCCAGCUGUUAUUUUUAAACUCCAGAUCUCUGCAGGAAGUUUUUAGGAGACCUCUACUCCUAAAGGCCCACAAAAGAUAACCAAGGAAAACACCAA